UGACACUGAACAUUGAGCCUUGAUGUGUAGGAUAGGUGGGAGGCUUUGAAGCGUGGACGCCAGUCUGCGUGGAGCCGACCUUGAAAUACCACCCUUUAAUGUUUGAUGUUCUAACGUGGACCCGUAAUCCGGGUUGCGGACAGUGUCUGGUGGGUAGUUUGACUGGGGCGGUCUCCUCCUAAAGAGUAACGGAGGAGCACGAAGGUUGGCUAAUCCUGGUCGGACAUCAGGAGGUUAGUGCAAUGGCAUAAGCCAGCUUGACUGCGAGCGUGACGGCGCGAGCAGGUGCGAAAGCAGGUCAUAGUGAUCCGGUGGUUCUGAAUGGAAGGGCCAUCGCUCAACGGAUAAAAGGUACUCCGGGGAUAACAGGCUGAUACCGCCCAAGAGUUCAUAUCGACGGCGGUGUUUGGCACCUCGAUGUCGGCUCAUCACAUCCUGGGGCUGAAGUAGGUCCCAAGGGUAUGGCUGUUCGCCAUUUAAAGUGGUACGCGAGCUGGGUUUAGAACGUCGUGAGACAGUUCGGUCCCUAUCUGCCGUGGGCGCUGGAGAACUGAGGGGGGCUGCUCCUAGUACGAGAGGACCGGAGUGGACGCAUCACUGGUGUUCGGGUUGUCAUGCCAAUGGCACUGCCCGGUAGCUAAAUGCGGAAGAGAUAAGUGCUGAAAGCAUCUAAGCACGAAACUUGCCCCGA
rnacentral:rRNA from 1 species